AAUAGAAUAAAUUGCCAUGAAUGACAUAAGCGUUGUAGCGUACUACAAGGGCUUCUCAAACACAUGGACUGUGUUACUGUUACAACCACCUACUAACCAAGGCAGCUACGGAUGGGUAGAAUAUACUGCAUGAGUACCACAGACCAAGUGAAGAUGUACAGCCCAGGAUCUGCAAGAUUAUUUCUCAUCAGCUUUUAGUGCUUUGAACACUCAACUGGACAUGAUCUAGAGAAUCACCUAUGAGGCUAACCUCUGGGCAAGCUGUGGAUUAACUGAGGUAAAAAUAAUGCCUUAAGUAAAGGCAGUGCCCUUUCAUGGGCUGGAGUCCCCAGCUGAAGGCAGUGGUCUAAGCAGGCAGAAUGCUGGUGUCGUCUCUCUCUGCUCCUUAACUGUGGCUCCCUGCAGCGGCAGUACGUUCUCAACCAUGAGGCACUGACCCUCAGAGUUCAACCUAUAAUGAACUUUUGCUUCCUUAA